rnacentral:rRNA from 1 species
UACGUAGGGAGCGAGCGUUGUCCGGAUUUACUGGGCGUAAAGGGCGCGUAGGCGGUCUGUUAAGCGUGAAGUGAAAUCUCCAGGGCUCAACCCGGAAACUGCUUUGCGAACUGGCAGACUAGAGGAAGGUAGAGGUAAGUGGAAUUCCCGGUGUAGCGGUGACAUGCAUUGAUACCGGGAGGAACACCCAUGGCGAAGGCAGCUUACUGGACCUUAUCUGACGCUGAGGCGCGAAAGCAUGGGGAGCGAACAGG